GUAGUCUCGCACAGAUGCAUAUCAAUAAGCGGAGGAAAAGAAACUAACUAGGAUUCCCUCAGUAACGGCGAGUGAAGCGGGAAGAGCUCAAAUUUGAAAUCUUCAAGGUUCUACCUUGACGAAUUGUAGUUUAAAGAAGUGUUUUCUGUUGGAGUUUUGGUAAAAGUUCUUUGGAAUAGGACAUCAUAGAGGGUGAGAAUCCCGUAUUUGACCAUUAUUUCCAGCUUUGUGAUACACUUUCAAAGAGUCGGAUUGUUUGGGAAUGCAGUCCAAAAUGGGUGGUAAAUUUCAUCUAAAGCUAAAUAUUGGCGAGAGACCGAUAGCGAACAAGUACCGUGAGGGAAAGAUGAAAAGAACUUUGAAAAGAGAGUUAAACAGUACGUGAAAUUGUCAAAAGGGAAGCGUUUGACACCAGUGUUGUUUUUCUGAAAAUCAAUUAAAGAACUGUUUAUGCUAAGUUGUUUAGACUUUAUCAGCUAACUGUUUAGUUUUGAGCUUUUCUUUAAUGCACUUUUCAGUUAACAAGUCAACAUCAAUUUCUUUUGCUGUAAAAAAGCUUGAGGAAGGUGGCUUGAGAUUCGUCUUAAGUGUUUAUAGCCUCUUGCCUAUGCAGUCGGAGAGAUUGAGGUCUGCAGCGUAGAUCCUUCGGGGCUAGAUACAUUUGUGCUAAGUUAUAGCCUUUCAUAGACAACUUGUUGACUAUGAUCAGUCAUGUAGCUUACUCGCUUAUGUUAUUUUACCUACGCUUAGGAUGUUGAAGUCAUCGUAUCGCGC
rnacentral:rRNA from 1 species